AGGUGGUCGGCUCAGUAGUUAACAAGAUAUUGGUCAAGAUUUGCCUUCUGUAUUGGACAAAGAGGUGACUUAAAUGGAAAUGUGUUAGGUAUCACCACCCAGGCAUCCUUCCAAGUCUUUGAUGACAGCACUACUCUCUGCAGUUUCCCUAAAGCUUUUCCACUUCUUGAUCAUGUUGUAUUAGUUUAUUGUCUGUCUCCUCCCAAUAAAAUAUCAGCUCCAAGAGCAGGAGUGGAUGCAAGUUUUAUGAAACCUGAAGCUUUUGUAGUCCUCCUCAAGAAAAAAAAUGCAAAGAACAUUCUACUGGAGAGCUCUGGUCUAGAAGGUUUUCAAGAUCCUUUUUUAACCUCUGAGAUCCUAAGCAAAUCAAUGAAAGAAAAAAACAACAUGUUAAGUGUACUGA
ensembl:lncRNA